rnacentral:sRNA from 1 species
AUGUACCACGCGUCCACUGCGGUUCUGUGCGCGCCGUCCGCGCCCACCUGACAGAGCUGCUCUCUACGUUUUGUUAGCC